GUUAAAAAAUAAAUUGAAUAGAAUGGUGCCCAAUGAGGGUAGGCAGAUGGGAGCCAUGGUUGCCCCAUAUAGUUUGAAAUUCAAAUCAUACUCCUCUUUAAAACUGCAUUUAAAUCAGGUGAUGGUGGCUCAUGCCUUUAGUCCCAGCACUUAGGAGGCAGAGGCAGAUGGAUCUCUGAGUUCUAGGCCAGUCUGGUCUACAGGACAACCAGAGCUACACAGAGAAAUUCUGUCUUGAAAACAAACAAAAACCCAAACACAGGUUUGAGUCUUAAGAAUGCAUUUAAGGACUAGCAUAGAUAUUCUUUUUUUUUUUUUUAAAGAUUUAUUUAUUUAUUAUAUGUAAGUACACUGUAGAUGUCUUCAGACACUCCAGAAGAGGGAGUCAGAUCUUGUUACAGAUGGUUGUGAGCCACCAUGUGGUUGCUGGGACUUGAACUUCAGACCUUCAGAAGAGCAGUCGGGUGCUCUUACCCACUGAGCCAUCUCACCAGCCCUAGAUAUUCUUUAUGAACUGUACUUAUAACUAUGAUAAGAAACCUUUAGACAGUAUAUAGUCCUUUUCCACAAAAACAUUAAGAAUUCCACAGAAAAGGGUAUUAUUUAAAAGUCAUUACAUGCAUAAUUUAAAUGUCAUGUCUUUUAACUUUAAUUUUUUGUUUUAUGCGUAUGGGUGUUUUGACUGCAUGUAUGUUUGUGAACUGUGCGUGUGCCUGUAGAUGCGUGUGUGUGAUGUCCGUAGAGGCCAGAAGUCCUCAUGAGAUGCCCUGGAACUGGAGCCAAAGAAGGUUGUGAAUGACCGCGUGGUGCUGGGAAUUGAACCUGGGUCCUCUGGAAGAGCAGCCAGCGCCCUUCACCUCUGAACCAUUUCGAUGUCUUACCAGUCCCUAAUGUGAUAUCUUACUUUAAGAGACGUCUAUAGGCGCAUGUCUUUAAUCCCAGCACUUGGGAGGCAAAGGCAGGCGGAUUUCUGAGUUCGAGGCCAGCCUGGUCUAAGGGCUACACAGAGAAACCCUGUCUCUGGGGAAAACAAAAAAUAACAACAAAAAAGAGAGACGUCUAUAUUCUGAUAAAGUUCAUUAUGUUAUAUAAUAUUUCUAAGUGAGUGUACAGUAGUAUCUUAAUGUGAGGAAUUUUAUGUGUGUGCAUGUGUUCAGUGUUACAGAAUUUUUAAACUAACUUUUAAAGAUUUAUUUGUUUUAGGUGAGUAUACUGUUUCUGUCUUCAGACACACCAGAAGAGGGCAUCAGAUCCCACUACAGAGAGUUAUGAGCCACCAUGUGGUGGCUGGAAUUGAACUCAGGACCUCUGGAAGAGCAGUCCGUGUUCUUAACUGCUGAGCUAUCUCUAAAGCCCUUAAAUAUAUAUUUUAACGUGUGAAAAUUUUAAAAUUUGAAUGUUACUUACCUGAUAAAUACUUCUUGUCAUAUGGGACUAAAAUGCAAAAGAAAAAUCAAAAUUAAAAGUUUUAAGGAUGCCUUACAAGAUUUACUUUAUAUACAGCUCUUUAAAAUGGGUACUCUGUGAGCUUAAUAUCCCCAUUUUACUGCAUCGUCAAGUUUCUAUCUUACCUGUUCCAAAUUUACUUUUUAAAAAUCAGAUACCUAGACCUGACAAAUGCAUUGGCUUGGUUGGUAGAAAAAGAAUAAAGGAGCGUCACAAAAUAUAAUAAUAAAUGAGAGAAAAUUUUCUGGUUGUAGAGUCUGUAGAAAACAUGUAAAAUUAAACAGCUGUGGAAUUUCU
rnacentral:lncRNA from 1 species